GGGGGCUUAUGCCUAUUAAUUUUGGCUUAUGCCUAUUAAUUUUAAUUUCUUAAUUCUUACUUCGAUUUUUCAGAUCUUCUUAAGAGUGGAGGGGGCAACUCCAGGAUAAUUAAAUGUUCUAUAUGUAAUUUAAAAAAAAAAUCUGCUGCGAGAAAAAAGUGAGGGGGAGCUAGUCCCCUCCCCCUUCCCAAUGUCACAUGCCUGGUAUGAAAAGACUGAGAUCUUUAAUUGUAAUCAUUUGUUAGAUCAUAUGUUUAAAAGUCUAAUUACCAGUAUCAUUUAGUUUGAGAUCGUCAGUGGAAGUGACAAUGACGACGGUAGAACAAGGUUAAAAGAAUGUUUUUGACUUUCAUCAAUUGCAACAAGUUUUCAUGGGUUUAGUUUUCAUUACUUUGCCGAUAAUGAUUCAAAAAUUUAAACUUAAAUCCGUCGUUCUUUGUUUUUCUCACAAUUUUCAUUCUAUAACAGCUUCAUCUAUUUCUCCAACUUCAGCAAAUGGUUGAAAUCUGGAUCUUUGAUAUUACAUGUAUCACAUAAUAAAAUGCAUAAAAAG
rnacentral:sRNA from 1 species